ACAUGCAAGUCGAGGGGCAGCAUUGGAGUAGCAAUACUCAGAUGGCGGCCGGCGCACGGGUGAGUAACACGUAUCCAACCUGCCGCUUACUCGGGGAUAGCCUUUCGAAAGAAAGAUUAAUACCCGAUGGUAUAAAGAGUUCGCAUGUUCUCUUUAUUAAAGAAUUUCGGUAAGCGAUGGGGAUGCGUUCCAUUAGAUAGUUGGCGGGGUAACGGCCCACCAAGUCUACGAUGGAUAGGGGUUCUGAGAGGAAGGUCCCCCACAUUGGAACUGAGACACGGUCCAAACUCCUACGGGAGGCAGCAGUGAGGAAUAUUGGUCAAUGGACGAGAGUCUGAACCAGCCAAAGUAGCGUGAAGGAUGACUGCCCUAUGGGUUGUAAACUUCUUUUAUAAGGGAAUAAAGUGAGGGACGUGUCCCUUUUUGUAUGUACCUUAUGAAUAAGGAUCGGCUAACUCCGUGCCAGCCGCGGC
rnacentral:rRNA from 1 species